UGGGGAAUAUUGCACAAUGGGCGCAAGCCUGAUGCAGCCAUGCCGCGUGUAUGAAGAAGGCCUUCGGGUUGUAAAGUACUUUCAGCGGGGAGGAAGGCGAUGCGGUUAAUAACCGCGUCGAUUGACGUUACCCGCAGAAGAAGCACCGGCUAACUCCGUGCCAGCAGCCGCGGUACUACGGAGGGUGCAAGCGUUAAUCGGAAUUACUGGGCGUAAAGCGCACGCAGGCGGUCUGUCAAGUCGGAUGUGAAAUCCCCGGGCUCAACCUGGGAACUGCAUCCGAAACUGGCAGGCUUGAGUCUCGUAGAGGGGGGUAGAAUUCCAGGUGUAGCGGUGAAAUGCGUAGAGAUCUGGAGGAAUACCGGUGGCGAAGGCGGCCUCCUGGACGAAGACUGACGCUCAGGUGCGAAAGCGUGGGGAGCAAACA
rnacentral:rRNA from 1 species